AACGGGUGAGUAACACGUGGGUAAUCUGCCCUGCACUCUGGGAUAAGCCUUGGAAACGAGGUCUAAUACCGGAUAUCACCUCUCUCCGCAUGGAGGGUGGUUGAAAGUUCCGGCGGUGCAGGAUGAACCCGCGGCCUAUCAGCUUGUUGGUGGGGUAAUGGCCUACCAAGGCGACGACGGGUAGCCGGCCUGAGAGGGUGACCGGCCACACUGGGACUGAGACACGGCCCAGACUCCUACGGGAGGCAGCAGUGGGGAAUAUUGCACAAUGGGCGAAAGCCUGAUGCAGCGACGCCGCGUGAGGGAUGACGGCCUUCGGGUUGUAAACCUCUUUCGCCAGGGACGAAGCGCAAGUGACGGUACCUGGAUAAGAAGCACCGGCUAACUACGUGCCAGCAGCCGCGGUAAUACGUAGGGUGCGAGCGUUGUCCGGAUUUAUUGGGCGUAAAGAGCUCGUAGGCGGUUUGUCGCGUCGGCUGUGAAAUCUGGAGGCUUAACCUUCAGCGUGCAGUCGAUACGGGCAGACUUGAGUUCGGUAGGGGAGACUGGAAUUCCUGGUGUAGCGGUGAAAUGCGCAGAUAUCAGGAGGAACACCGGUGGCGAAGGCGGGUCUCUGGGCCGAUACUGACGCUGAGGAGCGA
rnacentral:rRNA from 1 species